rnacentral:rRNA from 1 species
AUUGCACGCUGGCGGCAGGCCUAACACAUGCAAGUCGAGCGUGCGGCGGACGGGUGAGGAAUGUAUGGGGACUGCCCGAUAGAGGGGGAUCACGUCUGAAAACGGUAGCUAAUACCGUAUACUAUAGGAUAACUCCUAUGGGAUUAGCUCGUGGGUGGGGUAAUGGCUCACUUAGGCGACGAUCCCUAGAUGGUCUGAGAGGAUGAUCAUCCAGACUGGGACUGAGACACGGCCCAGACUCCUACGGAGGCAGCAGUGGGGAAUAUUGCACAAUGGGCGCAAGCCUGAUGCAGCCAUGCCGCGUGUAUGAAGAAGGCCCUAGGGUUGUAAAGUACUUUCAGUCGGGAGGCGUUACCGACAGAAGAAGCACCGGCUAACUCCGUGCCAGCCGCCGCGGUAAUUC